rnacentral:rRNA from 1 species
GWUACYACUGAGGCGUCCGGACUGGCCCAGAGAGGUGGGCAACUACCACUCAGGGCCGGAAAGCUCUCCAAACUCGGUCAUUUAGAGGAAGUAAAAGUCGUAACAAGGUCUCCGUUGGUGAACCAGCGGAGGGAUCAUUACCGAGUUUACAACUCCCAAACCCCUGUGAACAUACCAAUUGUUGCCUCGGCGGAUCAGCCCGCUCCCGGUAAAACGGGACGGCCCGCCAGAGGACCCCUAAACUCUGUUUCUAUAUGUAACUUCUGAGUAAAACCAUAAAUAAAUCAAAACUUUCAACAACGGAUCUCUUGGUUCUGGCAUCGAUGAAGAACGCAGCAAAAUGCGAUAAGUAAUGUGAAUUGCAGAAUUCAGUGAAUCAUCGAAUCUUUGAACGCACAUUGCGCCCGCCAGUAUUCUGGCGGGCAUGCCUGUUCGAGCGUCAUUUCAACCCUCAAGCCCAGCUUGGUGUUGGGACUCGCGAGUCAAAUCGCGUUCCCCAAAUUGAUUGGCGGUCACGUCGAGCUUCCAUAGCGUARUAGUAAAACCCUCGUUACUGGUAAUCGUCGCGGCCACGCCGUUAAACCCCAACUUCUGAAUGUUGACCUCGGAUCAGGUAGGAAUCCYRAAAAWGAAAAAAAAG